rfam:Candidatus Riflebacteria bacterium GWC2_50_8 gwc2_scaffold_8737, whole genome shotgun sequence.
GCGCCUAUAGCUCAGUUGGAUAGAGCACAGGAUUCCUAAUCCUGGGGUCUCAAGUUCGAAUCUUGAUAGGCGCG